rnacentral:rRNA from 1 species
GGUAUGGGAUGAGCUUGCGUCCGAUUAGCUAGUUGGCGGGGCAACGGCCCACCAAGGCGACGAUCGGUAGCCGGCCUGAGAGGGUGAUCGGCCACAUUGGGACUGAGAUACGGCCCAGACUCCUACGGGAGGCAGCAGUAGGGAAUAUUGCACAAUGGGGGGAACCCUGAUGCAGCAACGCCACGUGUGGGAAGAAGCAUCUCGGUGUGUAAACCUCUGUCGUGAGGGAAUAAGGCCUGUUCUAGGACAGGAUUGAAUGUACCUCGAAAGGAAGCACCGGCAAACUUCGUGCCAGCAGCCGCGGUAAUACGAGGGGUGCAAGCGUUGUUCGGAAUCACUGGGCGUAAAGGGAGCGUAGGCGGAGAUUCAAGCGGAUUGUACAAUCCCGGGGCCCAACCCCGGACCUGCAGUCCGAACUGGAUCUCUUGGAUAGUUCAGGGGCAGGC